UACGAGGGGUGCAAGCGUUGCUCGGAAUUAUUGGGCGUAAAGGGUAGGUAGGUGGUCUCAUUUGUCCGGGGUGAAAGCCUUGAGCUUAACUCAAGAAGUGCCCCGGAAACGGUGAGACUGGAGUCCUGGAGAGGGACACGGAAUUCCGGGUGGAGUGGUGAAAUGCGUAGAGAUCCGGAGGAACACCGAAGGCGAAGGCAGUGUCCUGGCGCGUAACUGACGCUGAGGUGCGAAAGCCAGGGGAGCGAACGGG
rnacentral:rRNA from 1 species